rnacentral:rRNA from 1 species
GCAGCCGCCGCGGUAAUACAGAGGGUGCGAGCGUUAAUCGGAUUUACUGGGCGUAAAGCGUGCGUAGGCGGCUUUUUAAGUCGGAUGUGAAAUCCCUGAGCUUAACUUAGGAAUUGCAUUCGAUACUGGGAAGCUAGAGUAUGGGAGAGGAUGGUAGAAUUCCAGGUGUAGCGGUGAAAUGCGUAGAGAUCUGGAGGAAUACCGAUGGCGAAGGCAGCCAUCUGGCCUAAUACUGACGCUGAGGUACGAAAGCAUGGGGAGCAAACAGGAUUAGAUACCCCGGUAGUCCCUGUCUCUUAUAA